UACGAAGGGGGCUAGCGUUGCUCGGAAUCACUGGGCGUAAAGGGUGCGUAGGCGGGUCUUUUAAGUCAGGGGUGAAAUCCUGGAGCUCAACUCCAGAACUGCCUUUGAUACUGAAGAUCUUGAGUUCGGGAGAGGUGAGUGGAACUGCGAGUGUAGAGGUGAAAUUCGUAGAUAUCUGGAGGAACACCGGUGGCGAAGGCGGCAUCCUGGACCGGCAUUGACGCUGAGG
rnacentral:rRNA from 1 species